UGGAAACUGUNUGACUUGAGUGCAGAAGGGGAGAGUGGAAUUCCAUGUGUAGCGGUGAAAUGCGUAGAUAUAUGGAGGANCACCAGUGGCGAAAGCGGCUCUCUGGUCUGUCACUGACGCUGAGGCUCGAAAGCGUGGGUAGCGAACAGGAUUAGAUACCCUGGUAGUCCACGCCGUAAACGAUGAGUGCUAGGUGUUAGGCCCUUUCCGGGGCUUAGUGCCGGAGCUAACGCAAUAAGCACUCCGCCUGGGGAGUACGACCGCAAGGUUGAAACUCAAAGGAAUUGACGGGGGCCCGCACAAGCGGUGGAGCAUGUGGUUUAAUUCGAAGCAACGCGAAGAACCUUACCAGGUCUUGACAUCCCGGUGCUAUUCUUAGAGAUAGGAAGUUACUUCGGUACAUCGGAGACAGGUGGUGCAUGGUUGUCGUCAGCUCGUGUCGUGAGAUGUUGGGUUAAGUCCCGCAACGAGCGCAACCCUUAUUGUUAGUUGCCAUCAUUAAGUUUGGCACUCUAGCGAGACUGCCGGUAAUAAACCGGAGGAAGGUGGGGAUGACGUCAAAUCAUCAUGCCCCUUAUGACCUGGGCUACACACGUGCUACAAUGGUCGGUACAACGAGUUGCGAGCCGGUGACGGCAAGCUAAUCUCUGAAAGCCGAUCUCAGUUCGGAUUGGAGGCUGCAACUCGCCUCCAUGAAGUCGGAAUCGCUAGUAAUCGCGGAUCAGCACGCCGCGGUGAAUACGUUCCCGGGCCUUGUACACACCGCCCGUCACACCACGAGAGUUUGUAACACCCGAAGUCGGUGAGGUAACCUUUUAGGGGCCAGCCGC
rnacentral:rRNA from 1 species